AUUGAACGCUGGCGGCACGCUUAACACAUGCAAGUCGAGCGGUAACGUGUCUAGUAGCAAUACUAGAUGAUGACGAGCGGCGGACGGGUGAGUAACACGUAGGAACUUGCCCAGUAGAGGGGGACAACCAAGGGAAACUUUGGCUAAUACCGCAUAUUCUCGAGAGAGGAAAGCUGCCUGCAAAGGUGGCGCUAUUGGAGAGGCCUGCGUCCGAUUAGCUAGUUGGUGGGGUAACGGCUCACCAAGGCGACGACGGGUAGCUGGUCUGAGAGGAGGGCCAGACACAUUGGGACUGAGACACGGCCCAGACUCCUACGGGAGGCAGCAGUGGGGAAUAUUGCGCAAGGGGCGAAAGCCUGACGCAGCGACGCCGCGUGUGGGAUGACGGCCUUCGGGUUGUAAACCACUGUCGGGAGGGACGAAUGCCCCGCAAGGGGAGUGACGGUACCUCCAAAGGAAGCACCGGCUAACUCCGUGCCAGCAGCCGCCGUAA
rnacentral:rRNA from 1 species